rnacentral:siRNA from 1 species
GGCCGCAGCAGAAGAAGAGAGGUC